AUUGAACGCUGGCGGCAUGCCUUACACAUGCAAGUCGAACGGCAGCGGGGACUUCGGUCCGCCGGCGAGUGGCGAACGGGUGUGUAAUGUAUCGGAACGUACCAUUGAGUGGGGGAUAACGUAGCGAAAGUUACGCUAAUACUGCAUAUUCUCUCCGGAGGAAAGCUGGGACCGCAAGGCCUUGCGCUCUUUGAGCGGCCGAUAUCAGAUUAGCUAGUUGGUGAGGUAAAGGCUCACCAAGGCGACGAUCUGUAGCGGGUCUGAGAGGAUGAUCCGCCACACUGGAACUGAGACACGAUCCAGACUCCUACGGGAGGCAGUAGUGGGGAAUUUUGGACAAUGGGGGCAACCCUGAUCCAGCCAUGCCGCGUGAGUGAAGAAGGCCUUCGGGUUGUAAAGCUCUUUCGGCCGGGAAAAAAUCGCAUGGGCUAAUACCCUGUGUGGAUGAUGGUACCGGAAUAAGAAGCACCGGCUAACUACGUGCCAGCCGCCGCCGUAA
rnacentral:rRNA from 1 species